AUAUUAAUAAGCGGAGGAAAAGAAACUAACAAGGAUUCCCCUAGUAACGGCGAGUGAAGCGGGAAAAGCUCAAAUUUGAAAUCUCCCUGGUUUUUGCCAGGGCGAAUUGUAGUUGAAAGAAACAUUUUCGGAGUUGGAUCAGGUCUAAGUUGCUGACGCGACGAUCAUAGAGGGUGAGAAUCCCGUCUGUGGUUUGAUCUUCAACUCCAUGUGAAUUGUUUUCUAUGAGUCGGGUUGUUUGGGAUUGCAGCCCUAAAUGGGUGGUAAAUACCAUCUAAAGCUAAAUACCAGCGAGAGACCGAUAGCGCACAAGUA
rnacentral:rRNA from 1 species